CGUAGGUGGCAAGCGUUGUCCGGAUUUAUUGGGUUUAAAGGGUGCGUAGGCGGUCUAUUAAGUCAGUGGUGAAAUAUGGCAGCUCAACUGUCAGGGUGCCAUUGAUACUGAUGGACUUGAGUGAAGUCGAAGUAGGCGGAAUUGACGGUGUAGCGGUGAAAUGCUUAGAUAUCGUCAAGAACACCGAUAGUGAAGACAGCUUACUAGGCUUAUACUGACGCUGAGGCACGAAAGUGUGGGGAUCAAACAGGAUUAGAUACCCUGGUAGUCCACACUGUAAACGUUGAUUACUCGCUGUUGGCGAUACACAGCCAGCGGCCAAGCGCAAGCGAUAAGUAAUCCACCUGGGGAGUACGCCGGCAACGGUG
rnacentral:rRNA from 1 species